UCUACAUUGUCUGAGUGGGAGGUGCUGUCCAGGCCAUUAUAUAUUCUAUAUUGUCUGAGUGGGAGGUGCUGUCCAGGCCAUUAUAUAUUCUACAUUGUCUGAGUGGGAGGUGCUGUCCAGACCAUUAUAUAUUCUACAUUGUCUGAGUGGGAGGUGCUGUCCAGGCCAUUAUAUAUUCUACAUUGUCUGAGUGGGAGGUGCUGUCCAGGCCAUUAUAUAUUCUAUAUUGUCUGAGUGGGAGGUGCUGUCCAGGCCAUUAUAUAUUCUACAUUGUCUGAGUGGGAGGUGCUGUCCAGGCCAUUAUAUAUUCUACAUUGUCUGAGUGGGAGGUGCUGUCCAGGCCAUUAUAUAUUCUACAUUGUCUGAGUGGGAGGUGCUGUCCAGGCCAUUAUAUAUUCUACAUUGUCUGAGUGGGAGGUGCUGUCCAGGCCAUUAUAUAUUCUACAUUGUCUGAGUGGGAGGUGCUGUCCAGGCCAUUAUAUAUUCUACAUUGUCUGAGUGGGAGGUGCUGUCCAGGCCAUUAUAUAUUCUACAUUGUCUGAGUGGGAGGUGCUGUCCAGGCCAUUAUAUAUUCUAUAUUGUCUGAGUGGGAGGUGCUGUCCAGGCCAUUAUAUAUUCUACAUUGUCUGAGUGGGAGGUGCUGUCCAGGCCAUUAUAUAUUCUACAUUGUCUGAGUGGGAGGUGCAGUCCAUAGCAGCUUAACAUACAUUACAUGGUCAGAAACCAAGUAUGUAAAAACCGUACAAACAAGAAACAAUCUGCCUGAACAGUACAAGUCACAGUAUAAUUAGGAGGUGUGGUUAUGCAAAUGCAAAAAAAUCCAGGAAGUUAUGUCACAAAAGAAAACGACAAUGCAUGUCUUAACAUCAAGCUGUCAAUCAUGAUAGUAUGCUGUUUUCAUAUGACAAUGAUAUACCUUGAUCCAGGGAUGGUUGAGGGCAUCUUGAAUAGUUAACCUCUUCCUGGAAGACAAACAUGUUUACACUGGAUUUGGUAGAGUCACACCUCAUGACCUUCUCCACAUGGUGUUAUGUUUACAGCCUUAUUCUAAAAUUAAUGUUAAAAAAGAAAUCCCUCAUCAAUCUACAUACAAUACCCCAUAAUGACAUCACAAUACCCCAUAAUGACAUCACAAUACCCCAUAAUGACAUCACAAUACCCCAUAAUGACAUCACAAUACCCCAUAAUGACAUCACAAUACCCCAUAAUGACAUCACAAUACCCCAUAAUGACAUCACAAUACCCCAUAAUGACAUCACAAUACCCCAUAAUGACAUCACAA